rnacentral:pre_miRNA from 1 species
UCUUAUGGAUGAGCAAAGAAAGUGGUUUCUUUAGAUGGAAUCUACUCCUGGUGACAAUGCUGUGAA